GGGUUGUGAGGUUAAGCGACUAAGCGUACACGGUGGAUGCCCUGGCAGUCAGAGGCGAUGAAGGACGUGCUAAUCUGCGAAAAGCGUCGGUAAGGUGAUAUGAACCGUUAUAACCGGCGAUGUCCGAAUGGGGAAACCCAGUGCAAUUCGUUGCACUAUCGUUAACUGAAUACAUAGGUUAACGAGGCGAACCGGGGGAACUGAAACAUCUAAGUACCCCGAGGAAAAGAAAUCAACCGAGAUUCCCCCAGUAGCGGCGAGCGAACGGGGAGCAGCCCAGAGUCUGAAUCAGCUUGUGUGUUAGUGGAACGGUCUGGAAAGUCCGACGGUACAGGGUGAUAGUCCCGUACACCAAAAUGCACAGGCUGUGAACUCGAAGAGUAGGGCGGGACACGUGGUAUCCUGUCUGAAUAUGGGGGGACCAUCCUCCAAGGCUAAAUACUCCUGACUGACCGAUAGUAAACCAGUACCGUGAGGGAAAGGCGAAAAGAACCCCGGCGAGGGGAGUGAAAAAGAACCUGAAACCGUGUACGUACAAGCAGUGGGAGCACCUUCGGGUGUGACUGCGUACCUUUUGUAUAAUGGGUCAGCGACUUAUAUUCUGUAGCAAGGUUAACCGUAUAGGGGAGCCGCAGGGAAACCGAGUCUUAACUGGGCGUUAAGUUGCAGGGUAUAGACCCGAAACCCGGUGAUCUAGCCAUGGGCAGGUUGAAGGUUGGGUAACACUAACUGGAGGACCGAACCGACUAAUGUUGAAAAAUUAGCGGAUGACUUGUGGCUGGGGGUGAAAGGCCAAUCAAACCGGGAGAUAGCUGGUUCUCCCCGAAAGCUAUUUAGGUAGCGCCUCGUGAA
rnacentral:rRNA from 1 species